rnacentral:rRNA from 1 species
CAAGUCGAACGAUGAAGCCAGCUUGCUGGGCGGAUUAGUGGCAUACGGGUGCGUAACACGUGAGCAACCUGCCUUGAAGUGGGGAAUAGCCCGGGGAGACCCGGAUUAAUACCGCAUGUGGUCUCUUUUCGCAUGAAAAGACGACUAAAGUUUGUAAUGACUCUUCAAGAGGGGCUCGCGGCCUAUCAGCUUGUUGGUGAGGUAAAGGCUCACCANGGCAAAGACGGGUAGCUGGUCUGAGAGGAUGAUCAGCCACACUGGAACUGAGAUACGGUCCAGACACCUACGGGUGGCAGCGGUUUCGAAUCAUUCACAAUGGGGGAAACCCUGAUGGUGCAACGCCGCGUGGAGGAUGACGGCCUUCGGGUUGUAAACUCCUGUCACCAAGGAACAAACGGCAGGUUCAUAGCCUGUCCUGAGUUAACUUGGAGAGGAAGAGGUGGCUAACUCCGUGCCAGCAGCCGCGGUAAUACGGAGACCUUCGAGCGUUACUCGGAUUCACUUGGGCGUAAAGAGUAUGUAGGCUGUCUGGUAUGUCAGGUGUGAAAGCCCGAAGCUCAAUUUCGGAAUUGCACCUGAAACUACCGGACUUGAGGCCUGGAGAGGGGAGUGGAAUUCCUGGUGUAGCGGUGAAAUGCGUAGAUAUUCAGGAGGAACACCAAUGGCGAAGGCAGCUCCCUGGACAGGUUCUGACGCUGAGA